GACGAACGCUGGCGGCGUGCCUAAUACAUGCAAGUCGAACGCAGUGGGGACGGGUGAGUCACACGUGGGUAACCUCCCAUCAGAGGGGAUAACACUUGGAAACAGGUGCUAACCCGCUACUGAUGGAUGGACCCGCGGGGCAUUCGCUAGUUGGUGAGGUAACGGCUCACCAAGGCCACGAGGCAUAGCCGACCUGAGAGGGGGAGCGGCCAAACGGGGACUGAGACACGGCCCAGACUCCUACGUGAGGCAGCAGGAGGGAAUCUUCGGCAAUGGACGAAAGUCUGACCGAGCAACGCCGCGUGAGUGAAGAAGGUGUUCGGAUCGUAAAACUCUGUUGUUAGAGAAGCGGGAUCUAACCAGAAAGCCACGGCUAACUACGUGCCAGCAGCCGCGGUAAUAC
rnacentral:rRNA from 1 species